rnacentral:rRNA from 1 species
AACGAACGCUGGCGGCAUGCCUAACACAUGCAAGUCGAACGAGACCUUCGGGUCUAGUGUCGCAUGGGUUCGUAACGCGUUGGAACCUGCCCUUAGGUUCUGAAUAACUCCCCGAAAGGGGUUCUAAUACCGGAUAAUGUCUUCUAACCAAAGAUUUAUCGCCUUUGGAUUGGUCCGCGUUGGAUUAGCUAGUUGGUAGGGUAAAAGCCUACCAAGGCGACGAUCCAUAGCUGGUCUGAGAGGAUGAUCAGCCACACUGGGACUGAGACACGGCACAGACUCCUACGGGAGGAAGCAGUGGGGAAUAUUGAAGAAUGAGGGAAAGCAUGAUCCAGCAAUGCCGCGUGAGUGAUGAAGGCCUUAGGGUUGUAAAGCUCUAUUACCCGGGAUGAUAAUGACAGUACCGGGAGAAUAAGCGCCGGCUAACUACGUG